rnacentral:rRNA from 1 species
UGGGAGCCCCACCACUAAGCCAGUGGUGAACUCCACAUACGCAUCCUUUGCUGAGGAUACGGUUAACGGAGCGAAAGCGACGUUCAACCGCAAAAGAAGCAGAGGGGGCUUAGUGGUGGGGUGACUGCGUACCUUUUGUAUAAUGGGUCAGCGACUUAUAUUCUGUAGCAAGGUUAACCGAAUAGGGGAGCCGGAGGGAAACCGAGUCUUAACCGGGCGUUAAGUUGCAGGGUAUAGACCCGAAACCCGGUGAUCUAGCCAUGGGCAGGUUGAAGGUUGGGUAACACUAACUGGAGGACCGAACCGACUAAUGUUGAAAAAUUAGCGGAUGACCUGUGGCUGGGGGUGAAAGGCCAAUCAAACCGGGAGAUAGCUGGUUCUCCCCGAAAGCUAUUUAGGUAGCGCCUCGUGAAUUCAUCUCCGGGGGUAGAGCACUGUUUCGGCUAGGGGGCCAUCCCGGCUUACCAACCCGAUGCAAACUGCGAAUACCGGAGAAUGUUAUCACGGGAGACACACGGCGGGUGCUAACGUCCGUCGUGAAGAGGGAAACAACCCAGACCGCCAGCUAAGGUCCCAAAGUCAUGGUUAAGUGGGAAACGAUGUGGGAAGGCCCAGACAGCCAGGAUGUUGGCUUAGAAGCAGCCAUCAUUUAAAGAAAGCGUAAUAGCUCACUGGUCGAGUCGGCCUGCGCGGAAGAUGUAACGGGGCUAAACCAUGCACCGAAGCUGCGGCAGCGAACGUAUCACUUAAAGCGAUUCAGCGGGUUACGAUUGACGGAGCGAAGCGACGUCAAAGCGUAUACAAAGUCGAGUCGGUUUAAGGAUACGUUCGUUGGGUAGGGGAGCGUUCUGUAAGCCUGUGAAGGUGGCCUGUGAGGGUUGCUGGAGGUAUCAGAAGUGCGAAUGCUGACAUAAGUAACGAUAAAGCGGGUGAAAAGCCCGCUCGCCGGAAGACCAAGGGUUCCUGUCCAACGUUAAUCGGGGCAGGGUGAGUCGACCCCUAAGGCGAGGCCGAAAGGCGUAGUCGAUGGGAAACGGGUUAAUAUUCCCGUACUUGGUGUUACUGCGAAGGGGGGACGGAGAAGGCUAUGUUGGCCGGGCGACGGUUGUCCCGGUUUAAGCGUGUAGGUGUGUGUUCCAGGUAAAUCCGGUUCACUUUAACACUGAGGCGUGAUGACGAGGCACUACGGUGCUGAAGUAACAAAUGCCCUGCUUCCAGGAAAAGCCUCUAAGCAUCAGGUAACAUCAAAUCGUACCCCAAACCGACACAGGUGGUCAGGUAGAGAAUACCAAGGCGCUUGAGAGAACUCGGGUGAAGGAACUAGGCAAAAUGGUGCCGUAACUUCGGGAGAAGGCACGCUGACAC